AGCAGCUCUACGACAGACGGACAGGAGGACAGGGAGGUUCCAGUUAGAACCUGAACCUGGUUCUGAGCUGAUCCUGUGAGAGGAUCACAAACCGGUUUUGCUGGCUCUUAGGAACACGCUGGCCUGGUCCUGGUAUCCCAGAAGCCUUUGCUGUGUGGAGUCGAGGCUGCAGCAGGUGUCCUAAAGGACAACGGAGUCCGGGACACAGACACACACGCGGGACAGAGUUCACGGAUGAGCUGAAGGAGCUGAGAGAAGAGCGGAGAUCUGGUCCAAACCACAUCAAACUCCAGGCCCGCGGGCCAAAUCAGGCCCACAUGAGAUCGUAUUUAUUAACUCUACACAACGCAGAACCGGACUCUGCAUCAGAACCAACGCCAGCGGGACUCACCACGCGUUCGGUUCUGUUUCCUGUUCAAAUCCAAGGAAACGGAAUCCCUUCUCAGCGGUGAUGUCGUCUGUUUUAGUCCUGGAGCCACUCCCCCUACACACACACACGAAAGAACUCCUGGUUAGCUUACAGACCUGCUGGUACCCAGAACCGGGUCUUCAGGUGGGUCCACCGCUGUUCUGCUCAGGAGCUGUGGGCCACUUUGGGGGGAACCUUCCACCUGCUUCCUGGAUUCAGGAUCAGCUGACAGUUUGGAGUGAUCCUAAAGACAUAAAAACAUCUGGGAUGUUGGAGAGACGCUGAAAGG